rnacentral:RNase_P_RNA from 1 species
AGGGCGCCGGGCGGCCGCAGGCGGCUUGUCCGUCUGAGGAAAGUCCGAGCUCCAUAGGGCAGGGUGCCGGUUAACUGCCGGUGGAGGCGACUCCAAGGAAAGUGCAACAGAGAUAUACCGCGUUUCCUUUGGGAAACGUAAGGGUGGAAAGGCGAGGUAAGAGCUCACCAGCGGCUUGGCGACUUGUCCGCUCUGUAAACCCCACCUGGCGCAAGAUUGAUAGGGGAGCAUAUGCGGCGGCCCGUCGCGCUCCCGGGUAAUCGCUUGAGCCCGCUGGCAACCGCGGGCCUAGAUAGAUGGCCGUCCAAGACAGAACUCGGCUUACAGACG